rnacentral:lncRNA from 1 species
GGCAAAUAUGUAAUAAGUGAGGAGUCCUUAUUCUAUAAAAGGACCCCUUACCCUCACAAUUAGGGGAGGCUAUUUCUGAGGCCAAUUCCUAAGGCUCUUCACCCCCUCAAGCUCUCACUCUCAGAGCUCUCUCUUCCUCAAAUAAAUACAUAAUCAGUGUGGACGUAGCCCAAACCUUGGGGUGAAUCACGAUACAUCUUGUGUUAUUUACAUUUCUUGCAGAUUCACGGUCGGAUUUACGUUGUUCCAAGACCUCUGGUUUUGUGUAUCAACACAACCUUCGAAAAAUAUGAUGGAAUCUUUCCUCGUCAGCAAAUUUGAUCUUAUUUUAGUUGAAUAAAUGGAAGCCCACCAAAGUAGAGCAAAUUUCUGAGUUCAUAUUAAAUGGCGAAAUUUGAAUUUCACAAGAAAAAAUGAUAUUAAAGUCGAGUUGCAGAAGGAAAAGUUUGAAUUUCAUACACAUUUUUCUCCUUGUGUACACUUUAUUUAUUUGUCACUUAAUUAUUUUUUAGCUUGUCCAAUCUAAAAGGAUAAAUCAAAUCCUUAGAGUUGAUGAAUUCAUUGUAAGUUUGAUAUGUAACCAAAACAUGGGUUGAAAAUGGUUGUCGCUUGCCUAAAGAGUGGUAGAAUCCUAAAGUCUUUGGGCUUCCUAGCAACAAUUCCAUUCAGCUUGGUCUUCUAUAUCCAUCUCUGACCACAAUACAUUUUUGGCCACCAAGUUUUAAAAUUUCUCUCUGACCUUUUUUUUUUGGCCAUCUUUUUAUUUUAUUUUAUCAAAUAAUAGAUUUGUUAGAUUAGAUAUUAGAUUAAGGAGUCAACAAUGUUCAAACCCGCACCAUGAUGCAAAUGCAAUACUCAUCUCUAACACUAUAGUAAAGAGCCACUUACUUUUGUCAUCUCUCUUUAUUUAUUUACGUUGGAACGAUGGAAGAAAGCACGUAACCAAUAAUUGAAAAUAUGUUUACCCAAAAGAAAUUGAAAAUAUUAAUAUAUAACAAACCAAUUAUGAUGAUGCUUUGGUCAAGAAGAAAUUUUUUUGAUGACGGCUUGGAUUUUGUGGGGGAUACAUGACCAAGUUUCAGUGAAUUGUUUCUUAAAAAAAGAAAAGCACUUCAAGCUUACUUUAAUCCAAGCAUUAAGCCCAUUGGUGUAUGGAGACAUGUGUCUUGGUGGGUAAAAGAUCUUGGUAGGUCAUCACACUCAGCUCUUCCACACUGGAUUAGAGUUUAUGCGGUCUCCGCGUCCCACUCAUAGCUCGUUGCCUUAAAUGUAAUUAAAAUUAGAGAAAUUAGAUUGAAAAGAAACUGAUUUUUUUACUGUGAGUUGAAGGGUUCGUUUGGAUGUACUUUUAAAAUAACUGAAAACAUUUUUAGAGAAAAUAUUUUUUGGUUUCAAAAGCACUUAAAAUGUUUUCUGCAAGAAGCAUCAGUUAUGUGCUUCUUCCAGGAAGCACUUUUAGUGUUUUUUUUCUUCAGAAUUUACUUGCAUUUUUACUAAGAAUUGAUUCCAAAAACAUUUUCACCAAAAACAUUUUCACCAAAAACGCUUUCAGUCAUUUUAAAAAUACAUCCAAACGAGCUUGAAAUUUUUUAUUUCAAUGAAUUUGAAGCAAACUCUCACAAAGAACCAUAAAACUUGAAUCCAAUCAACAAGGGUUCAAUCAUUAAGGGCUCGUUUACUAAUCCGUAAUCAAGUUGAAGGAAAUUGAAUUAAGGAGGAAUUGGAUUGAGGAUGAAACAGAAUUAGAUUAUUGUUAAAGUUGUUUACUAAACUAAACUGGAAUCGGAAUACAAAUGAUAUUGGUUCUGUAUAUAUUGUUUACUAAUUCACUGGAAUCGGAAUUAAAACUAGCUUGAUUACUAAAAUGUCCUUGUUGAAAAUAAUUUAUUUUUAUACUAUAAUUAUUGAAAAUUAAGUUUAUCUAUAUAAAAUUAAAUUUAUCUUUACAAAUUUUAUCUUUUCUCCCUCCCAUCCUCUCAUCCCUAUCUUUUCUUCACCAACUUCCAGAGCACUCCCAGUCUCCCACGCAUCUUCGUUUGAACAGUGGUAAAUUUCUUGUAGCAAGAGAGACAACAAUUAGCAGAGGAGCAAGCCCGGGCAUCCACCCUUACAUCUGUAAAGCAAGAAUUGGAGGAAAAGCUUGCAACUAUGUCUAGAAAGGCUUCAGGUACCAAAGCCAUCCAAAUGUACAUUUCUACACCAUAAAGAAUUUCAGAUGUUCAAGUUAUAAAAUGGAGAGGGCUUUAUGCCUUGCUGCCUUUUUCUUUCCCAGCCCACACAUCCCAUCCCACCACAUAUCAUACUCACAGGUCUUCCAUGCUCCCCCAAUCCUCCAUAUCUUUUUCUUCCUAGCCCUCACAACAUCCCAUAUUCACAAAUACACCCACUAUGUAACAUCCCACAUUAUCCAGGGGAGUGGAUCAUUUAUGCUUUAUAUGU